UGGACCUCAGGACUGUUUCCUCCUUCUCCUCCCCCAAAGUAUUUUCCUGCAGGAGAGCACGUGGCCUCUGAGAAAGCGGCUAAAUCCAUCCAUUCGUUUUAGCAAAGACCGCCGAAAAUCCUGAGCGGGUGACAACUUCUAGGUGCCAGCAGCACAGACAGCGGCAGAACAGAUGGAACGACAGCACAGGGACGACUUCCCUUGGAUAGCAUGGGGAGGGCUUUUCAUUCGGUGCCCUUGGCCCUAAUGUCACUUGCGGAUGAGACAGCUGAGCCAGUGCCAAAGCAGGAUUGAUUGAAGAUGUGCCCUUGUGACAAGUCCACUGGUAAAAACACUUAAACUGGAACCCUUGCAAUUUGAAUUUUUGUCACCUGAUUGAAGUUUUGGUAAGUUCAGUAACUCACACAUUGGGCUGUGUUUCACUGCUUUCAUGCUUCACCUGUUCAGUCCUUCUCUAGCUACUGUGAACGCAAAUACAGGAGUAAAAACAGAACCAAGGAAGACAGAGGAGAGAUGGUUCAGAUUUGCUGAGACACCUCAGAUGCACCAAUGCACAAGAGGAAGAAGAAGAGCAGGGCUUCUGUGGAGUUGCAGCCAGAAAAAACAAACAGACAACGAGUGAAAACACCAAUACACGACACUUCUACAAAACAUAUGUCCACAAGCAUUGUUAAUCCCAGGUAAAUG